GGACGGGCGAAAAGACCGGGCUUCAAACACAGUUGAGGGCGUCAGACGCGCUCAGGUCGGUUCGACUCCGGCUGCCUUCCGCA
rnacentral:tRNA from 1 species